GAUGAACGCUGGCGGCGUGCCUAAUACAUGCAAGUCGAGCGAACAGACGAGGAGCUUGCUCCUCUGACGUUAGCGGCGGACGGGUGAGUAACACGUGGAUAACCUACCUAUAAGACUGGGAUAACUUCGGGAAACCGGAGCUAAUACCGGAUAAUAUAUUGAACCGCAUGGUUCAAUAGUGAAAGACGGUUUUGCUGUCACUUAUAGAUGGAUCCGCGCCGCAUUAGCUAGUUGGUAAGGUAACGGCUUACCAAGGCGACGAUGCGUAGCCGACCUGAGAGGGUGAUCGGCCACACUGGAACUGAGACACGGUCCAGACUCCUACGGGAGGCAGCAGUAGGGAAUCUUCCGCAAUGGGCGAAAGCUUGACGGAGCAACGCCGCGUGAGUGAUGAAGGUCUUCGGAUCGUAAAACUCUGUUAUUAGGGAAGAACAAAUGUGUAGGUAACUAUGCACGUCUUGACGGUACCUAAUCAGAAAGCCACGGCUAACUACGUG
rnacentral:rRNA from 1 species